rnacentral:lncRNA from 1 species
GCAGUUUCUAGACUGUCAAACUUAUGAACAGAGGUCCUACAAAUAUCCACCGACAGGUCUUGAUGUGAACGUUAAGUUUUCCUUUCUUUGGGAAAAACCCAUCUGGAAGGGACAGAAGACAUCUUACACAACAGAGCACAAAAACCAUAUGAUUUGAUGUUUACUGAGUAAAUAAGAGGGCUGUUAACACCUUUACCAGCAAAUGCAGAACUUGAGAACUCAGAAGACAAUUGGCUGAUACACUAACUCCAUAAAGCUCAGAAAGAUGUCUGGAAAUGCCCCAGAUCAGCCUUCUGGCUUUCCCAACAUCCUCACUGUGAGUUCUGCGUCUUCUGUCAUACACCUUGUUUGAAAUAUACAUCUAUUUUUCUCCUCGACUAAUUGAGAUUCUCUCUGCCUGUCACUGUGAGGAAAGGGUGUGAACGUUUGGAACUGCCGCCUUCACUGUCUAGGGAAGGCGUGCGUUUCUGUGUGUGGGCAUGUGCAUGUGUAUGCUAUGUACGGAGGUGGGGAGUAAGGCAGAUGGUUUGGUGACGAUGCUUUAGACCUUCACUCCUGAUGCAAAGAAGAAGAAUUCUGACCAAUAAGGAGGCAAAGUGAAGGUGUUAGUGAAGGACUGUCCAGAACCUGUGGGUAAAAUGAUUUACUGGUACCCAGCAGGAAUAUCCUUAGCUGUGCACAGAAAUACGAUCAUUAUAAAACUGGGAUAUUUUAAGCCAAGAUGCUAAUUAAAAAUUGAAAAAGUUAAAGGUGGAAGUUACUGAGUUUGGUUGCUUUCAUGGAGAGCCAUGUGCCUGUUUGGUAUGGUGGUGUCAUUAAAGCCACGCAAGACUUGAGGAACACACAGGUCAGCGUACAACCUAGAAAUUGGUCAGAGCCCUUAAUUAAGAGAACUUGCCCUAGCUAAUUUCACCAAAAUUGACCUUACUGGAAGGAUGUUGGUACACUUACCAACUGUCCUAGUUAGAGUUUCUAUUGCUCUAAGAAAAACCAUGGCUAAAAGCAACUUGGGGAGGAAAGGGUUUAAUUUAUUCUGUUUAGGCUUCCACAGCGUGUCACUGUUUAUCAGAGGAAGUCAGGGAAGGAACUCAAACAGGGCAGGAAUCUGGAGGCAAGAGUGGAGCUUGAAGGGGCCAUGGCAGAGUGCUGCAUACUGGUUUGUUCCUCAUGUUUUUCUCAGCCUGCUUUCUUAUAGAACCCAGGAUAACUAGUCUAAGUGUGAGCCUACUCAUAGUGGGCUAGGCCCUCCUACAUCAAUCACUUCAUGUGGGUACCAAACAACUAGAGCAGGGACUAUCCCAAAAACUGUUACCCGUAUGUGGGAUAUGUUCUUCUAGCUGGAAUGACUUGUCUGGCCUCAAUGGGAGAGGAAGUGCCUACCCUCGCAGAGACUUGAAGAGCCAGGGUUGCGGUGGGGAUGCCUAGGAGGGUCCCCACCUGCUCAGAAGAGAAGGAGAGGGGGAGAUGAGGGGAGGAUUGUGGGAAGGGGUGACUGGGAGGGGGACAGUGAAUGGGAUGUAAAGUGAAUAAGUAAAAAAUAAAAUAAAAU